rnacentral:rRNA from 1 species
AUUCUCCUACGGGGGGCAGCAGUGGGGAAUAUUGCACAAUGGGGGAAACCCUGAUGCAGCGACGCCGCGUGAGUGAAGAAGUAUUUCGGUACGUAAAGCUCUACCAGCAGGGAAGAAAAUGACGGUACCUGACUAAGAAGCCCCGGCUAACCACGUGCCAGCAGCCGCGGUAAUACGUAGGGGGCAAGCGUUAUCCGGAUUUACUGGGUGUAAAGGGAGCGUAGACGGCAGCGCAAGUCUGGAGUGAAAUGCCGGGGCCCAACCCCGGAACUGCUUUGGAAACUGUGCAGCUCGAGUGCAGGAGG